GUCAGUGUAUCCACUGUUAGCGUGACACACCCGCUUUAAGGACACUGACUGCUAUUCAAUCUAUAACAGUGAAAAAAGAUUAUUUUUUUUUUUAAAUCCAAACUAUUGUGACACCAGAUCUAAUUAGUGGCACUGGUCAGCGUAUCCACUGUUAGCGUAACACACCCGCUUUAAGGACACUGACUGCUAUUCAAUCUAUAACAGUGAAAAAAGAGUUUUGUUUUUUUAAAUCCAAGCUAUUGUGAC
rnacentral:lncRNA from 1 species